AAUGUCCGCCUUCAGCUUGAAUGCACGCCUCACAUCGACGAAGUAAAGAUUCUAUCACACGACGUAUGAUUUUUGGAUCAUUCCGUAUGCUAUUAGCUGCAUCUUGAAUUCUGUCCAGUAGUUGCUGACGGGUAGUCAUUUCUACAUGGUACACAAGCUGCUUCAUGUGUCCCCAGAAAUAAUAAUCCAGCGGAUUUAGAUCUGGGGAUCGUGGUGGCCAGACUACUGGCCAAUCUAAUUAACUACCUCCAUUGCCAAUCCAUUUGUUUGGAAAAUGUUCAUGUAACCAAGCGAUGACUUCUCUUCCUCGAUGUGGUGGUGCACCAUCGUGCUGAUACCACAUAUUUUGAACGAUGUUAAGUGGUACAUCGUCGAUAAAAUCGAAAAGGUUAUGUCCCAAGAAAUUUCUGUACAUAUUUGCAUUUAAGCGUUCAUUUAUCACCCAUACAGGUAGCAAAGAAUUGUUAAAAAUGCCACCCCAAACGUUUACACUAAACCGUUGCUGAAAUCUUCCUGGUCUAAUUGCAUGUGGAUUUUGCAAGGACUACACAUGUUCGUUAUGAUAAUUAUUUAUGCCGUCCCUAUUUAAUCGUAAGUUAUCUUGAAUUAUAGACAUGAAAAUUAACUUAAUUAAUUAAAUUAAGGAAAGUUACCACUUAUCUGAUAAAUAACUUUUAGGUUAUGUUGAAACUCAAUUCGAUCGAAUCGGUCCCUCUUAGGAAUAAAAAAUGGACAGGAAUCGGGAAAGCUUCGGUUCGGAUAAUUAUUCUUCAAUCGGAUCUUGUUGCGAGAGUGCGGAAAUUUUUCAGGAACACAGGUUAUAUAAAAUCGUGAUUCGACGUUAAAUUUGGAUUGAAAUCGGAGAACCAAUUUAAGCGGUGCAUUGGAGGUUUCAAGAUUCUCCAACCACAAAAGAAGUUUGAAUUUUACAAAUUUUAAAUUCAAUUUUCAAAGUCAAAAUCGUUCAAAAUCUUUCGGAAUCUAAUAAAUUAGAUGUAGCUGACACUGAUUUUACCGUUUUGGAUGGUUUAGAAAGGAUAUUAACAGUUUUGAGAGAAUUAUGAGUAACUAAAAAGUAACUGUCAACUAAAUUGAGGUUAUGUUUCUUUCUCAGGUGAAACUUGUCUCGGAAGCUUUAUUAUAAUACCAUCUCUCAAGAUUGGGCAA